rnacentral:rRNA from 1 species
GAGUUUGAUCGUGGCUCAGAUUGAACGCUGGCGGCAUGCCUAACACAUGCAAGUCGAACGGUAACGCGGGGGCAACCCUGGCGACGAGUGGCGGACGGGUGAGUAAUACGUAGGAAUCUGCCCAUUUGUGGGGGAUAACCCGGCGAAAGCCGGGCUAAUACCGCAUACGCUCUACGGAGGAAAGCGGGGGAUCGUAAGACCUCGCGCUAAUGGAUGAGCCUACGUCGGAUUAGCUAGUUGGUAGGGUAAUGGCCUACCAAGGCGACGAUCCGUAGCUGGUCUGAGAGGACGAUCAGCCACACUGGGACUGAGACACGGCCCAGACUCCUACGGGAGGCAGCAGUGGGGAAUAUUGGACAAUGGGGGCAACCCUCGAUCCAGCAAUGCCGCGUGUGUGAAGAAGGCCUGCGGGUUGUAAAGCACUUUCAGA